UGGGGAAUAUUGGACAAUGGGCGAAAGCCUGAUCCAGCCAUGCCGCGUGUGUGAAGAAGGUCUUCGGAUUGUAAAGCACUUUAAGUUGGGAGGAAGGGCAUUAACCUAAUACGUUAGUGUUUUGACGUUACCGACAGAAUAAGCACCGGCUAACUCUGUGCCAGCAGCCGCGGUAAUACAGAGGGUGCAAGCGUUAAUCGGAAUUACUGGGCGUAAAGCGCGCGUAGGUGGUUUGUUAAGUUGGAUGUGAAAUCCCCGGGCUCAACCUGGGAACUGCAUUCAAAACUGACUGAUUAGAGUAUGGUAGAGGGUGGUGGAAUUUCCUGUGUAGCGGUGAAAUGCGUAGAUAUAGGAAGGAACACCAGUGGCGAAGGCGACCACCUGGACUAAUACUGACACUGAGGUGCGAAAGCGUGGGGAGCAAACA
rnacentral:rRNA from 1 species